AUAAAAUUUAGUCUAUCUGUAUUUGAGAAAAUUAAACAAAAUAGAGAACAUUAGCAUGACAUCUGCACAAGGAUGACAUCACAAUUUGUGACGUGUCCAUAGUUUUA